UUAGCAUUUAAUUAUGCUUUUCUAAAGAAAAUAAAAAUAAUAUAUGAUCCUACUGUUUUCAUUGCUUGUUGGCAAAACACAGCUUUCCUCCAAUAAUAUGUCACCUAUGAAUAUAUUAAAAUCAUACAAGUUUUCUUGUUAAAGAAAACUCAGAGAUUACUCCAGUACCCAUAUGAUAUUAACCAAAUUAUUAAAUAAGCUGCAACAACCACCUUCUCUUCUUAUUGUCAGGUUUAAGAAGCCAUGUGACAUCCCUCCUUUAAUUCAUCAAUAUACCUGUGGAUCUAUGACACCAUUAAUGAGAAUAAUUCUUCUACAGAUCAGAACCCAAACAUAUGUUUUCUCCUGGAAAAAUAUGUCCAAAGUUUUUGCGUUUUUUUUAACAACCUAUGAUCACUUUCUCCUUCCAGUUACUAAUAAUGGGAGCAUAUUUUGAUUUGAUUUGAAGGAUUUAAUCAUGUUCUUCAUAGCAUUUCUCUAACUCUUUAUUCUCUUCAACAGAUGUUGACAAAUAAGUUGCCAUUACUUUCAUUGUUUUCAUUUUAGGGGGAGGGUUGUUUUUGUUUUCAUUUAUAAUUGUCAUGAGUAUGACCCAUAAAAUGAGGGAGCUCCUUUAUUUCUAUUUCCUCAGAGAACCUGAGUCAUUCUCCUAAUUAGCUACUAUUUCCUGCCUCUUUUGAUUUUGUUUUUACUAGGAUGUUCAUUUUAAGGCAUUCUGAUGAAAACUGCUCAUCUUCCACAAAAGAAAGAAAAAAGAAGAGUCUCGGAAAUGCACUAGCCAUCAGAAUCCUAGGCCCCAGUUUCAUCACAGAUUUAGAUCAACUCUCACUUUCUGAAGAAGUCCCUUUCCUGGUUUCCAAACACCCCAUUUCCAACUUAAUCAAAAUCCAGUGGCAAGACAAAAGUCAGGGCUGCUGGCAAUCUCUUGGGAUGCAAUGGAUGGAUGACCUUGGCAUCUUUCAUGUCCCACCACACUCUAAGCCCUCCCCUGAACCUGCUUCAGCUGCUUUCAUGGUGGGAACAGUCUUCAGAUGCCUGGAGUAGACAUCACACCCCAAGUCAUCAACAGGUCUGAAGCCUGUCAAUUAUCUUCAACCUGAUUUAGCUUACCUGCUGAGACAGUUCCACCAGUGUAUUGCCACUGUGUAUACUACAGCUUUUUGAAGCCACAAGGGAGAACUGGGUUAAAGCUGAAUACAAAAGGUUGAUGAGUAGCCCUAAAAGGGUUUAGUAACUGUACCAGAAGUGAAAGUCUUCCCUGAGUUUCCCAUCAUAGUAAGCACUUAAUAAAUGUUUGUUGACUGAUUAACUUUGCCCUAAU
rnacentral:lncRNA from 1 species